AUCAAGCAUAAGUAUACUAGAUGCCAUGUAGCGUAAUCUCUAUCAGUACAUCUUAAAAAAUAAGAGCAUGUUUGGUUAGGGGAAUAGGAAUGCAUUCCUCCCCAAAUCAACGGGCCCACCACCAAACGCUGAUUAGGGAUUCCAUUCCCUAUUCUUUUUUUCUUUUUCAUUUUUUGCAAGCUUCAACAAUCUUCUCCUACGUUUCCCUUCCAUUGAUUCAUCAGCUUGACAGGUGAUUACCAGUUUCAAAGAAGCUCGCACUUCCUUGUUCAUUUUACAGGCUUCUACUCUCACUCAACCCUUCAUUAGUACUCUAUCCAAAUUGCUUACUAAAUCAUUGAUACAAUUUUUCAAUAGUUUGAGUUGUUGGACAGUCCAUUCAUCCAAAACCUCAUAUUUUGCUACAGACUUGGCAUCCAUGGUUUUUUCAGGUUGAAACAUUGCUCCCCUUUGGUGGUGUAUUACCAAACUUCCAGUGUAAUUGACUAAAUCUAUCAGAAUUACGCAACAACAUCAUUUCAGCUGUGAAGAAGUCGGCAGCACUUAACCGUCCUGGCGCUGAAAACAUGAAAGUAAGGCAACUAUCAGAUGCCAUACAUGAUGAGGUUGGGUAAGUGGACCUUGUUGUCAAAGUUAUUUAUGACUUUAAACUUAAGAACUUCAUUUAUAUGUGUAUAUAUGCAUAUAAGAGUGAAAAUUAAGAAUCCAUAUUGGAUUUCUUAGUUGAAAUAAUGUGUGUUCCCGAAUAAAAUGCUUGCAUCUUUCUUUAUGGUGUGUUUUAUUUAUGAGAAACCUGGUUAUUAAAAAUUUCAGCAUUGGGAAUAAUAAGAUAUGAAUAUAAGUAUAAAUUGGGAGCAGUUUGUGAGACGAAUAUCAACUCAGAGUUCCGUUAGCUAUUCAACAGUAUGUUAGAUUUUUCACUUAAUCUUCACAUUUGCUUCACCAGCUAUAAGUUCUUGUUGGUCGUUUCCAUGUAGUCAAUAAUGUUGAUGUUAAUGUGACACUUCAAAUUUUUAUAGUGAUUAGGAACAAAGUGAUGGGCCAGAUUUCAGAUAGUCUCUGGGAAAUAAUAAGAUCGGAAGGUAGCAUGAGAAUUGAAAUUACAGAAACAGUUGUUUCCCACAGAAAUAAUAAUGAGAGUAAACUUGCAAGUUGUUUCCCAUAGCCAUCGUGAUGUAAAUGUUGCACUAUAAAUGGAUCAGUCGUGAACCACUGAGACGGUAUACCUCUUUUUCUGCUCUAAUGGCCUUUCCUUUUUGUUUUCAGUUAGAGAGGGAGCCUUUUAUCUGCUAAUUGUAAUAACCCGGUUCCAUAUUCCUUUUUGAUAAUUUUUUCUAUGCUAGCAUUCUUGAGAAUCAGCAAGGGGUUACUAAUAUUGUAAGAGGCUGUUUUACUAAAAUAACCAUUCUUAUUGUCAUCUGUUUGUUUUCACUAGUUCCUAAUCUCUGUUGCUUUAUUUGAUUGUUACUAAUAACUGGUUUAUUUGAGCAUUUGAAAAUGCACAAGGUAGGGAUCUGAAAAUUGAAACUGUAUGUACCUCUUAUUUGAACGACUUUCUAAACUUUGUAUCGACUCUGUAUCUCCCAUUUUUUGGAGAAAUUUACCUUAAUUCCAGCAGCAAACAGGCUGAUUUUCCAA